rnacentral:lncRNA from 1 species
GACACACGUAUGGGAGAAAGCUGAAGCUGGCAGUGACGAUUAACCGUAAUAGGACAGGGCACCAUGUGUCAUGAAAAUGCGCCACAUGACACUCGCGUCUCCUGAUAGUACUUGAGGGAGGAGGGAAUUUAUUAUCAGGCAAGAGAUCCAGUCAUGAUGGCCAGCCUGACAAAGUUUUCCCUAGGUUCAAUCAAUCACGUGUGUCCUCUGUGAAGAGGCACCACCACCAGGGGCCCUCGGAGGCUCUGCCAGCAGAUUAGUCACAGCCAACUCUCAUUUCUGCAGCUGUGCUGGUACAGAGAUAGAAUGAUGGAGUAAUGAGGGAUGGGGAAGCGUUAGGAGGGAGGUGGGCACCGCGUAGACGACGGAGGGGACGAGAGAGGGGGAAAGAUGAAGGCGAACGCGGGGAAAAAGAGCGUAAUGAGCGGUAAAAGGAGGCGACGGGGACGGCGGCGGCGCCAACAAUGAAACGGUGGGAUGAGGAGGGAAAGACGUGAUCCGCCCAUGAUGGAUUUCACCAGAACAAAAGCACAGAGGUCAGGAGAUCCUGGGACCGGAGACCUGGAGGCGUUUAAAGCACAACACACGCAGCAGCGUUCACUCACGGCGGACGCAUAAUAUCCUCAUGGGAUUAAAGCAUCUGAGACACAUUUUAAUAUCCCCUCUCAUCAACACAUAAGCAACACAGUAAUUAAAUUUAUAACCAGACGCAGCCUUCCUGGAGAUGAGCACAAUUAAACUAAGCACCUAAUUUGAAAUGAUGCCAUCAAAGUCGUAUGUUGUAAAACUGUAAAUAAUUCUGCUUUUUUUAAUACUUUUCAGAACUUGAUGUUUUCCAGCAGAUUUUUCAUUUCAGUCCUAUAACCACCAAUUUAAUUUCCUCAGUAACCUGCUCAUUUGUGUCAAUGGGGAACAAGGUAUAAAGGGUUUCAGAGCUUGUGUGCCUCAGUUAGACUGAAGAUUUCAACCCACCUAUACUUUCAUGUUUGAUUCUUUCUGAGUGCUUCCGAAUUGGUUCUGGUAAACGUUAUUCGCGUUAGAUUCAAAAGGCCCCA